UCUAAUGUGGCAGACCUUUGAAUGUAUUAGAUUUAAAAUUUAAUUAUGAAUUUUAAUUUCCUUUAGAA
rnacentral:tRNA from 1 species